rnacentral:rRNA from 1 species
UACGGAGGGGGCUAGCGUUGUUCGGAAUUACUGGGCGUAAAGCGCACGUAGGCGGCUUUGUAAGUUAGAGGUGAAAGCCCGGGGCUCAACCCCGGAAUUGCCUUUAAGACUGCAUCGCUUGAAUCCAGGAGAGGUGAGUGGAAUUCCGAGUGUAAAGGUGAAAUUCGUAGAUAUUCGGAAGAACACCAGUGGCGAAGGCGGCUCACUGGACUGGUAUUGACGCUGAGGUGCGAAAGCAUGGGGAGCGAACAGG